GGGGAUGUUAGCUGGAGCAGAGGCAGACCCCACACACAUGUACAAGGGAGGGGGCCACCCCUUAAAGAACCCAGCUUCUUGGCCAGAGGUUGCAAAGACCCAGCCCCUCCACCCCUGCCCCUUGUGAUGCCUGACCGCCUCUGGCUCACAUGGGUGCGCGUGGGGCUGUUCCACAGGUCGGCGAUCUCACUCAGGUUCUCCGGUAGGUCAUCCUCAUGCUCCGCCUGGGCGGCCAGCUCCAGGUUCCGACAGAAGGGAUCCAGCCACACAGGGUUGGCUCUGCAGUUGGGGAGGGAAAAGGGUGGGGAGGGAGGGAAGGCUCGAGUAGACAGGUGCCCUUCCAGCCUCACCCCACAUCCUGCCCAUUUCCCUGGCCAUAUAGUGCCUUUCACUGACUUGGGGUGUGAGGCCCUGGUGCCUGUGGUGCAUGCUCCCACCAUAGGAUCCUGCUGGAACCAGGACCGCAUGUCAGUCUGGAUUGCCUUUGGUGCAGAGGCUUCACCCUGCACCCACUGCCCAAAGUCUGCAUCCCCUGGAACUUGAGGCCCACUGGGGUGGAGAGCCCCUGUCAGCCACGUGGUUUCUGAGGGUGGAGGGAGGGUGAAGGGAGGGUGGCCCGCCCACCAGGGGGCGCCCACAGCCUGGGUUUCGGCAGCCCCAGCGCUGGGAGACUGCAGCUCUCCCCAGCUGGGUCCUGGCAGGACUCCCCGCAGGGGACCGGGCAGGGCCAGUACCCCACUCACCCAUCAAAGGAGUACUUGUUGGUGUUAGGCAUGUCCAUGAUGUCGAUGAAGCCACGAUUCCCUGCAGGGAGAAGGGUUGGGGCAUGGAGGGGAGGGGCAUAGCCAGGGGUAGGGGUGGUGUUGGGGGGUGAGGGAGGAUGGGGUGCGGGGCAUGGUCCUGGGCCCAGUGAAGGGCCUGAGCCAGGCUUGUGGCUCCGGUGGGCACUCCAGGUCCCCAGCCCACUGCCUUCUCACCUGUGUCCCCACUAUGGCCCUCACUUACCAGCUGAGCCAGCCACAAUGGCCUUGAGCUUCCUCUUGUGUCUGGAGAGAAGCAGAGAGGGGCUGGUGAGGGGGGCCAAGCUGACGUCUCAGGCCCUGCCUGCCUCGUGGCCAUCCGGGAGCAGGUGGUCGGCCCCCUGAUGGCAGGGGUGGGGGACACUCACACAGUCCUGUAGUACCAGUUCAUGAGGACAAAGAGCAUGGCGGCCAGGAACAGGAGGAUAGCCAGGACGAUGAUCGCCAUCUGCGGGAGCAGGACCAGGGGCAGGGAGGCAGGCAGACAGACAGGCUGACAGUCCAAACACAGGCCCCGACUCACCGGUCCACGUCCAGGAUGCGGUUGGUAUCGCGGUUCACCACGUGGAUAAGCAGUUCUGUCUGCGCAAAGUUCACCCGGCCCUUCUUGUCCACAUGGAACUAGAUGAGAAGGGGUAUUGUAGGGUGUGGCCACCACAGCAGGGGGCCACAGGGAUGGGCAGGCCUCUUUUAGGAACCCCUUCUGCCCUUCCCUGCAAAUAGACCCUUCACUACUGAAUGUUUGAAUGUUUGCUGAGGACCAGGCACGGUGCCAAUCACUUCAUCCACACUUGGCCAGGUACUAUUUAUUAUUGGCCCCAUUUUAUGGAAGAGGAAACUGAGGCCCAGAGACCUGGGAGAACUUUAUCAAAGCUGCACUGAUAGGAAAUGACUAAGUAGGGACUAUACUGCCUUUCACGCCCUGGCCUUUGCACAAUGCCCUGUCUCUCCUUGUGGCCUGGCCUCCCCUUCCUUCUCCCUCCACUGCCCCGGCCCCGGGUGGGCCCAUGAGGCACCUGCACAUUGUCAGUAUUGACAAUGGCCCCAGUGAUGUUGGAGAGCAGGUGGAUGAACUCCUCCUCGAAGCCGCGCACACGGUCGGGGAUCUCGUUAAUGACGAUCUUGACGCGCUGGUCGUCCCUCAGGAUGUAGAUGCCGAUGAUGGCCGUGUCGUUGUGGCCUGCCAGGUCUCGGGCCACAAUGUCCACCACGAAGUAGCCGGGGCUGUAGGCCAUGAAGAGGUCGAAGGUGCGCAGAAUGCCGUCCAUGCUCCCUGCAGGAAGCCCAAAGGCGGGGUACGGCUCAGAGACUCAGUGCCCCGAAUCCCCAGGAAGGGGCAUGAGCCCUGGGGUAGGUGGGCACAUCUAGGGGAGGCGGCACAAAUGCCCACAGGGCACAGCAGGGAGCAAAGGUGACAGGCAAGUGGGAACGAUGCCCAUCUGAAGUGGAAAUGGCUCGGGUCUCAGCCGGUUAUCAUCACAGGGGAGUGCGGAUGACAAGUUUGUGACUCUGUUGUCCCAUGCUAGGGUGCGAAGGACCAUUUCUGAGCCCCCUGAGUGUCUGUCUGUUUCUCCUCUCUCUUUCAAACACAUGUACCUCAGAAUUCCACAAAUAAGCCCGGGUGUGGUGGCUCACGCCUGAAUCUCAACACUUUGGGAGGCUGAGGCGGGCAGAUCACUUGAGGCCAGGAGUUUGAGACUAGCCUGGCCAACAUGAUGAAACCCCAUCUGUACUAAAAAUACAAAAUCUAGCCAGGCAUGGUGGUGCAUGCACCUAAUCCCAGCUACUUGGCAGGCUGAGGCAGGAGAAUCACUUGAAUCCAGGAGGCAGAGGCUGCAGUGAGCUGAGAUUGCACCACUGCAUUCCAGCCUGGGCAACAAACAGAGUGAGAGUCUAUCACCAAAAAAAAAAAAAAAAAAAAAAAAGGAAAAAGAAAACAACAAAACCCA